ensembl:snoRNA
GUGCUGUAGAAGUGAUGAGCUCUUCAUGUCUCUUCUCUGACUAAAUCUCAAUGGAGAGAACUUUUUACAACUCUGAUCUCAGCAU